rnacentral:rRNA from 1 species
AAAUUUCUUCGAGUUUCGAUUGUUAACUAGAGUGGUUGUGUGACGGACGGCUUCGGUUUGUACGCACCUACCGUUUUGCGAUUGGCGUCGAACGCGUGCACUUUUCCCCUAGUAGGACGUCGCGAUCCGUUGGGCGUCGGUCUAAGGCCCGCGGUGGAGCCCUGCUGAUAGUUUACUAUCGGUAGGACCCGUGGUGUUUCCCGACCGGCUCGCUCGACGGUAUACAGAUGGCGCAGAGCCGCGACUCAGUUCGCGUUCGACCCGAGGCAAGCGCGUUCGUAGUUUCGGCGAUCGGACCUAGUGCCGGUCCUGGACUCGGAUGACUGUUGGGCUUCGGAGUUCUCGAACAGACUCUGUGAAACGCCGAUCUGCGGCGCUAUAGCUUUGGGUACUUUCAGGACCCGUCUUGAAACACGGACCAAGGAGUCUAGCAUGUGCGCGAGUCAUUGGGACAUAACUAAACCUAAAGGCGCAAUAAAAGUAAAGGUCAGCCUUGCGUUGACCGAGGGAGGAUAGGCGGUUUGCCCUUAAAGUGGCCGCCUCGCACUCCCGGGGCGUCUCAUUCUCAUUGCGAGAAGAGGCGCACCAAGAGCGUACACGCUGGGACCCGAAAGAUGGUGAACUAGCCUGGUCAGGAUGAAGUCAGGGGAAUCC